GAUGAACGCUGGCGGCGUGCCUAAUACAUGCAAGUCGAGCGAAUGGAUUAAGAGCUUGCUCUUAUGAAGUUAGCGGCGGACGGGUGAGUAACACGUGGGUAACCUGCCCAUAAGACUGGGAUAACUCCGGGAAACCGGGGCUAAUACCGGAUAACACUUUGAACCGCAUGGUUCGAAAUUGAAAGGCGGCUUCGGCUGUCACUUAUGGAUGGACCCGCGUCGCAUUAGCUAGUUGGUGAGGUAACGGCUCACCAAGGCAACGAUGCGUAGCCGACCUGAGGGUGAUCGGCCACACUGGGACUGGGACACGGCCGAGACUCCUACGGGAGGCAGCAGUAGGGAAUCUUCCGCAAUGGACGAAAGUCUGACGGAGCAACGCCGCGUGAGUGGUGAAGGCUUUCGGGUCGUAAAACUCUGUUGUUAGGGAAGAACAAGUGCUAGUUGAAUAAGCUGGCACCUUGACGGUACCUAACCAGAAAGCCACGGCUAACUACGUGCCAGCCGCCGCAGUAA
rnacentral:rRNA from 1 species